GUGCUCACUUGGGCGGCAGGAGCACUAAAACUGUAACGAUACAAAGAAGAUUAGCCUGGCUCUGUGCGAGGAGGACAUGCAAAUUCGUGAUGUCUUCCUUAUUGUU